rnacentral:misc_RNA from 1 species
GAUGAAGAACGUAGUGAAAUGCGAUAAGUAAUGUGAAUUGCAGAAUUCAGUGAAUCAUCGAAUCUUUGAACGCACAUUGCGCCCUCUGGUAUUCCGGGGGGCAUGCCUGUUCGAGCGUCAUUAUAACCACUCAAGCUCUCGCUUGGUAUUGGGGUUUGCGGUUCCGCGGCCCCUAAAAUCAGUGGCGGUGCCUGUCGGCUCUACGCGUAGUAAUACUCCUCGCGAUUGAGUCCGGUAGGUCUACUUGCCAGCAACCCCCAAUUUUUACAGGUUGACCUCGGAUCAGGUAGGGAUACCCGCUGAACUUAAGCAUAUCAAUAAGCGGAGGA